rnacentral:rRNA from 1 species
UACGUAGGGUGCUAGCGUUGUUCGGAAUCACUGGGCGUAAAGGGCGCGUAGGCGGGAUGGCAAGUCAGUCGUGAAAUCUCUCGGCUCAACCGAGAAACGUCGGCUGAUACUGCCGUUCUUGAGGGAUGCAGAGGAGACUGGAAUUCCCGGUGUAGCGGUGAAAUGUGUAGAGAUCGGGAGGAACACCGGUGGCGAAGGCGGGUCUCUGGGCAUCUCCUGACGCUGAGGCGCGAAAGCGUGGGGAGCAAACGGG